AUUGAGGGUCAGCCAGAAAUAAAAUGGCAUAUUUAAAUGCAUAUUUGCUGGUUCUUUUUUGAUACUUUUGGUAAAAGAACCUUUGGUUUUGUAGAGCAAAAUCUUUUAUUAAGAUUGGGCAGGAAGACAAGGAGGAUGUUGCACUCACAUUUAAACUUCUUGCUAUACUGUAAUGUGUACUGACACUAAUUCCUUCCUCUCUCUUUUGUGUCAUCUCUUUUUCCGAGGCCAGUUUGAAGGGUAAAUUGAUUUUCCGCUCAAGCAGCUAUAGGUCUUCCUAGGAAACUGCAUUGCAGAAGACUCCUGCAGGAUGGAAAAAUGGAUUUACUAGAAGGCAAACACGAUAGCGGCCAAGUUGCUUCUAUGUGUUGGUGAUAUUAGUCAUGGCCUCGAUGCUUGGAGGAUAUAUAACGAUCUAUGCGGGUAGCAGCCGGAUGUCUGCGAGCCAGGCUUUGGAUGUCCAGGAGUUUCUUACACCCCAGCAUUAGUGUUCGUGGAGUCCAUCGUUG